UGUGGCUUAGAAUAAUAUUGAAUGUUUCGUGACUUGUAAGAAAUUCAAGAGCCACUGGCAUAGUGGUUCUCUCAACUCAUUUUAGUUUAAUUUAUGGUCUAUUCUUCGCAGGUUUUAAACAUGACCACCGCCUAGAUCUUGAAGUACGGCGUCACAGAUGACGAGACGGUGGACAAACUGCAGCAGAGAAUUGCAGACGAAACCAGCAUCCCUGCAGCCCAGCAGGAGUUGCUCCUGGAGGCCGGCUCAGCUUUGGAGCCUCUCGGGCCGGCCACGCAUUGCGCCAUCGAUUACACCGUAACUCAUAUCGAAUCGUUCUCGCAUAAAAAAUGUCAAUGGCACAUCAUGUCUCAAAUCUCAUACUAUGUGGAGGAGCUAGAUGGGCGGCGGACAGACUUCCCUCUCGUUUUCCUGUUUGAUCGCUCAUCUUGUAGUUACGAACCACCGUUGACUCCUCGCGUCCUCCCUAAAAAUGUCAGUUUUAUCCAUGAGUCUUCCUCCUCCUUUUGUUGGAAUUAAAAUGUAUUUUAUUCUUAGUGUGUGCCAUAGAAUAGUGUAACUAUUUAAACAUUCUUAGUGUAGCUGCCAUAAGAAAAUGCACUGAUAUGGAACGUUUGAGCCAGGCUCUGUUUCCAAGUGGGAACCAAUUUUAGUUUUUGUGUUAGCGGUUCCUUUUUGAGAGUUACACAAGGGCGAGUGUCUGAUUUUGAGCCACGGCGUGGCAACGUUUUCCGUUUGCAAAAGCAAGUGAUGAAGAAUGCAAGGAAUGCUUCUUUUGUUUCUUUUCUGAUAACAUUUUUGUUUAUUGGUUAAACCAGAGUUUUGAAGAUCUGUAUUGUCAAGAUUUACGUUUUUUUUCGUUUUCUCCCUCGAGCAAAUGCGGCAAUGAGUUCUCACGGCAUGUGUGUGGAGAAGGAGUUGAAUAAAUGCCCGUUUUGAAGAACUGCUUGUACACCUGAUUGACAAGAGGGAGCUACAGUGAGAACUCAGCCAGCCCGGCGCCAGAACAAGACGUUGUUCGGCAGAGCUACAAGCAAGUCACUUCACUCACCUCUUCCAUCGGACAGAUAAGAGACUGUACAUUCACCUGCCUACACAAGUAGCUACCUGAGUCCAGAGAGCUUUGGGUGCCAGUCAACAAUAAGUAAAACAUUUGAACAAGUUAAAUGUUUAAAGGUGGACUAGCCUCAAUUGCUGUAAAGGGACCUACAAGUGCUAAAUUGUGCAAUGUUAUGGUGAUGUGUGCAUGUUGUAAGGUUUAAGUGCUUGCUUAUUUGCACCUAGUAAUGUCUGAUUGAGGUGUGAACGACCAUUCAUAGCAUUUGAAAACAAGUUCAUUUGCAAACAUUUAAAGGUGUAGAACAACAUUUAAGUGAUUAAGUCAUUGCAAUGAAAAUUAAGUUUAUUGUACAUUUAGUCAAUAUAUUAGACAGGUUGGUUGAUAAAGUAAAUUACAGGAGUCAGUAGUAAUUCAAGAUAGCCUACUGUAGUCAAGUGAUAAAACUAUAACAUCAUUACAUUAGUAAAUCAGAUUUAUACUUGAGUUUAAAGAAAAUCAGUUCAUAUAGCUUAAAUUUCAUGCAAAAUCGUAAUAAAAAAUAAUAGAUAAAUUAAUAAUCUUAAUAAAUACUGAGUUCAUGAGACUUCCUAAAAAUGGAUGUGUCCAAGAUAGAAGGGAUAACUCCAAUCUUAGAAGGCAUUGAGGAUGCUGAUAGUGAGCAAGCAGGUAAAACUCUUAAGGGGGAGACUGAAAUAAGUGAAGGCAAACAACCUGCCCCAGAAGAUGAAAUAAGAAGAAGUGAAAGAUCAAGAAAGCUCACUGAGAAGGGACAAGAACUCGAAGAGACUAAACUCAAAGGUCUCCAACAUCGUUUCUCACGUACCUAUGACAAGUGGAAGAUUCUUGCUAAGAAAUCAAGGAAGGAGAUAGAGGGAGCCUCUUCUCAAGAGAACCUACAAACUCUCAUCAACAAGGUAAAAGAAGCAUCAAAUGAUGUACAGCAGGCGUACGAAGACCUGCGCAAAUGCAUAAUCCCUGAUAAAGAGACACGCCGUCGAACAGACACCUGCGACAAUGUCUCAAGGCAGAUAUUAGAGCAUGCUUGGAAUCAUCUCCAAGACAAAGAUAACGAGCAAGAAAUAAAGUGGUUUGAAACUGGCUCUGUGUUCUCAUUAGAAGUAUCAGAAGCAUGCAGUGCAAGCUCAAGAUCAUCACUCUCAAGUAAAUCCUCAUGUAAAUCUUCAAAAAUAAGUGAAGCUGCAGCAGAAUUAGCAGCAAAUGAAGCCACUUUGGAAGUCCAAGAGCAAGUGGAGCGUGAGGAACGUGAACUCAGAAACCUAGAAGCUGAGUACAGACAAAGGCUUGUGCAACAAGAAAAGGAACGUGCACAAGAAGAAGAGCAAUGUAGACAAAGGCUUGCACAAGAAGAAGAAGAAUGUGCUGCAAAUAAACAGGUCUUGGAAGAAAAGCGCAGAAAGAUAGAACGCUUAGAGACCAUAAAAAAGAUAAAUGCCGCCAAGGCCAAACUAGAAGUGUAUAAACAAGAACAAGGCUCAACCUCAGACUUGCUGGAUCUAUUCAAGGAUUAUAAGCCCAAACGAGAAAGGCUUACAUUCGACUCAAAACCUGCUGUCCCGCCACAACUAAUCACAAGGAUGCAAUCAUCUAUAACUACUCCCAAAGAGGAUAGCACAACUGAUUUCGCCAAGGUACUAGCAGAGUCCUUCAGUGUAAGCCGUCUCCCAGCACCAGAGCCUGCUGUUUUCAGUGGGGAUCCACUAAAGUACAAGGGCUGAAAAAUGUCCUUUCAAACGCUGAUAGGCAGAAAGAAUAUACCAGCGAACGAAAAAAUCUACUACCUACAAAAAUAUGUUGGCGGACCAGCAAGGAAAGCCAUUGAGGGAUACUUCCUUCUAGGAACAGAUGCAGCCUAUCAGACAGCGCUCAGUGUCCUGGAAAAAAGAUUUGGAAGCUCCUUUAUGGUUGCUAAGGCGUUCAGAGAUAAGCUGGCCUCAUGGCCAAAGAUAGGACCCAAGGAAAGCAUUCAGCUACGAGAGUUCUCAGACUUCCUUCGAGGCUGCCAAGCAGCCAUGUCGCAAAUAAAGAGCCUGGAGGUCCUUAACGACUGUGGUGAAAACCAACGAAUGCUCUCCAAGCUUCCCGACUGGCUUACAGCAAGAUGGAACCGAAGGGUGACCAGGAUGGAAAAGGAAAAUGAGACUUUCCCCAGCUUCGAUCAGUUCGUGGAAUUCGUCACAGAGGAAGCCGAUAUCGCUUGUAAUCCGAUUACCUCCCUUCACGCUCUGAAGUCUGGAGAUGGUGGAAUGGAGAAGCCACAAAAAACACAAAGUGUUGGUGCCAAGGUGCUAGCAAGUAGCUCUGAAGAGAAAACAGAUGCUAAAGGAUGUGUAUUCUGUGAGAAGUCAAAUCAUGGCUUACAGACAUGUCGAAAGUUCUUGAAAGAGACAACUGCAGAACGAGUCAAGUUUGUGAAAACAAACAAGCUCUGCUUUGGAUGUUUGAAAUCAGGACAUCAGUCCAAGAACUGUGAGAAGAGAAGCAUUUGUGAGACAUGCAAAAGGAAGCAUCCAACAUGUCUACAUGAAAAUCGUCCAAGGGAAGACAAUAGGAAAGAACAAGAGGAUGGCGAAAGAAAGGAGAGUGGGAGACGCUUUAAGAAAAAGGAGCGCACAAAGGAGAAGGAAGACUUAUCAGAGUCUGAAGAGAAAGAAGAGACACCAGUAGAGGCAACAGCUAACAGAGUGGUGCAAGACAAGAGGAGCACCUAUUCCUCCACAGUUGUUCCUGUAUGGCUGUCCACAGCAAGUAAUCCAGAGCAGGAAGUGCUCGUAUACGCUCUAUUGGACAACCAAAGCGACACCACCUUCAUCCUGCAAGAAACGGCAAAAGUGUUAGUUACAAAGAAACAGGCUGUGCAAUUAAAGCUCUCCACGAUGUCAUCCAAAGAUACCGUCAUCCAGAGUCAGAAGUUAACUGGACUGCAGGUCAGAGGUUAUAAUGAGACAAGGAAAAUAUCUCUCCCAGUAACCUACACAAGAGAGUUUAUUCCUGCAAACCUAAGUCAUGUCCCCAUACCUGAGACAGCAAGAUCAUGGCCUCACCUAGAGCACCUUGCCGGAGAGAUCACUCCUUUAUGUGACUGUGAGAUUGGCCUGCUCAUAGGCUACAACUGUUCUCAGGCCCUGUUGCCCAGAGAAGUGGUGUCAGGAAAAGAUAAUGAGUCUUUCGCUCAACGAACAGACUUGGGCCGGAGUAUAGUUGGCUGUGCAGAUCCCUGGUUCGAAUCUGGGUCAUGGCAUAAUCAAAUUACUUUGAAGAAUUUCUCCCUUGCUCACUAUUGCUAAACUGACAUCUUUUGGACAAUGACGAUUUUCCACACAAGUCUACGGUCAAUAGCCGUAACUUGUAGGGCGAGUGGCGCAAAGAAUAAAGCAUCAUGGCAUAUUCAAAUAAUGUCACCUAUUUUUUAUUUUCAUUUUUGCAAAAGUGUUACAAGCUUACAAGCCACAUAUUCCCGUGGGGCUCGUGGAGCAAUGGGUAACGCAUCUGUCUACAGAUCAGAAGAUUCCAGGACUCCUGGCCAGCUUACAUGCCAUUUUGUGGUCAACAUUAGCUAUGUGUAGUUUAUGUGAACUUUUGGGUUGAAGUAACUCACAGACACUGUCAACAAAUAGUCUUUCCAAUUUUGUCUCAGCUCAAGUAUUAGGGAUCAUCAGAUCUGCGUAGUUAUUGGAUAGUUCCACCAACAUUUUAAUAUCAACAUCUGCCUGGGUGUCGUGGCUGAAGAUCCUAGAAAAAAGACCCUAAACAUGCAACUGCAUAUUGGCCAUAAUAUAGCAUCGAGGCGGCUGCAAUCCCAGUUUGAAUCUACAUACACACAAGCUUACAGAAAAUGACAACUUCCCGUGGGGCUAGUGGCUCGUUCCUUGCUCUGAACGGAGAGCCAAAACGAUUCCUAACACUUACUAAUGAAGUCCUAACCAAUUCCUGUGUGUGUAUGGGGGGCGGGGGGGGCAAAGGAACCAAUCAGAUGGCCCGAAUCCAUGCAUGGCCGAUGACGGCAGUGAUCAACACAGUGCUAUUUGAGAAGUGAAAUGCAGUUUAUAGGAUUUGCAGACAGUGUGCAAUCUUUAUUUAAACAAAAGUAGGCAGGUGCAUACAUUUGGAAACCCCAUCAGAAAAAUGACAUCAAUAUUUAGUAGUUCCUCCUUUUGCAGAAAUAACAGCCUCUAAACCAGUGGUUCUUAACCUGGAUUCGGUCAAACUCUAUGAGUUCGGUGAGUCGGUCUCAGGGGUUCAGCAGAGCCUCCACUGUGGAGGUCCGAACACACCUGUUUUAUAAAUUCGUGAUAACGCCUAUCUGAACUGGUCUCGCAAAGGCAACAGCAGAAGUCCUCCUGAUUUGCUGGUAUGUCAUUUGUCAUGAAUUCAUGCAUUGUGUUGGUUUUAUUCUUUCAACAAGGUGGUGUUCAUGCACUUCUGCAUGAGUUCCGCUCUAUUCUUCUGGCCCAACUCUUUCGGCGCAGCCGUUAGGUAGAUAUGAUGACCAUGGAAAGUUCUUUGUGAAUUAUCAAUCUUUGCCUUUCAUGUUCAUCGGGACUACACUUUUAAUAGGUACCUACACUGUGUAUUUGGAUAGAGACUGCUGAAAGUAUACACAUAUAUGCUUCGUGAACUACAUGCAUUACUGCGGGUGAAGAAGCGUGAACAAAUAAGUCAGCAGACAAGUUUGCCGAUUUAUUAGUGCCCAGAAGAGAAGCACUUCACAGUUUAACUAUUUAAUGUCUGCCAGAAUAAUCGAUGUACAGCUGUGGACCCCUUUCGGCGAGAUGCAAAAGAAGGUCCCUCUCCCAGCGCCAAGGUUCUUUAUACUACUCUGGGCCGCCUUCCUGCAAGGAGGCGACUCUGCCUAGCCUAGCGGUGGCCAACCCGCGGCUCGCGAGCCGCAUGCGACUCUUUGGCUGGUUUCAUGCGGCUCUUUUACGUUCAUAUCAACAUUUGUGUUUAUUUUUCGUGCGUAUUUGCUUCGCUUGAGUUCAAUAUGGUAUUUUGGUCAAACGCGCAUGCGCGUGAGGUGAAAUCCCGCAAAGGAGGAGGGACAAACAGAGCGAUUGGUUUUGCUGGCUUUUUAAUGAAUGGCGACUGUGACUACGGGGGCCCAUUAGGUCCAGAAAAGCUGACACGACGCUUGCCAAAAUGGCAAAGAAAAAAUGCACAGCUAAACGAAUAUAUGACGAUGAACACAGGAUGUUUUUAACAGAGUUAAAGUUGUUUUUUGUUGAACGCUAUGGCAAGCCAUUCUGCCUGAUAUGUCGGACGUCAUUGGCGCAUUUAAAAGCUUCAAAUGGUCAGCGCCACUUCAGCUCACUUCAUGCCAAUAUCGAUAAGGACUUUGCAAAAGGGACUGAUAUUUCGCAAGCACAAGUUUGGAGACUUUGAAAAGUCAGGCAGAAAAAUAGGUACAGUUUUUCAAAAAAAUUACGAAGCACUCAGAGACUGUCACACUUGCAUUGUUUCAACUGACUUGGAAUAUUGCACGGGCUAAAAAGCCAUACAAUGAAGUGGAGUUCGUUAAAAUAUGCCUCAGUGACGUUAUUGAAAUCUUGUCUCCUGAAAAUGACAAACUAAAACGAAUGGUCUGUCCCGCCACACAUAGUAAGUGGAAAAACGUAUGUUUUUGUUUGUGGAAUUUGUUGAACUGAGUUUGUCUGUGUGAGACAAUGCAGACAAUGUUCAUUGUUGAAAAUGUGGUCUUUGGUCUGUGGUUUUAGUACUGUAGGAGUCAAUUUGUCAUUAUCAUGUUGGUGCGUGACAUAAUAAUGUCACACAAUAAAUUUGGCUGAGCAGAGGGGUGUGUGUGUGUGUGUGCGUGUGUGUGUGGGUGUGCGUGUUUGUGUGUGUGUGUGUGGGGAGGGGGUGUUCAUGUGUGCUCAGUUGUAUGAUGUGGCUCUUUGCGAUGACACAGUAAAAAAUGUGGCUCUUAGUCUCUGACUGGUUGGCCACCCCUGGCCUAGCUGGUGUGAUAACGUGUGACCUUGUAGUCUUAACUGAGAGCGACUUCUACAUAUGUGCAAAGGGUGUCAUAGAGAAGAGAAAGCUAAUAAAGCAAGACUCGAGUCCUAUUCUAACAAACCGUUGGUGAGAAUGGGUAGACAGGGAAGCCUGUAAUGCAGUGCUUCUCAAUUAUUUUCUGUUACGCCCCCCCCUAGCAAGAAGGAAACUUUUCGCGCCCCCCCCUCCCCACCGUGACUAUCCUAACUUGUCUUGUAAAUCGUAAAAUGUUGCACUGUCGCAAACGUCACAGAAGUAACAAUGAGAGCGCCACUGCCCCCUGCUGGGAAGAUGCGCGAGUACACUUUAUUCUAGUACUGCAAAAAAAAAAGCCUGUUCCCCAGGGUCACACGCGCCCCCCCAGGUAUAGCACGGCGCCCCCCAAGGGGGGCGCGCCCCACUAUUUGAGAAGCACUGCUGUAAUGUCAUGACUCGUCCCCGGUCACGUCCAUGUUGUCAUAGUUUUGUCCGUGUGUCUGUGUGCUCACCCCUCCCCUCCUGUGUGCCCAUGAUCAGUGUGAUCAUUCUCACCUGCCUCUUGUUACCUGUCUUGUAUAUUAAGUCCUGUCUGUGUAUCACUCCCUGUCGGAGCAUUGAUGUGUUUGUUACUGUCAUGAGGUUUUUUUGGUUCCUGUCUUGGUAAUGUCACCCUGUCUUUUUGUCUCACGUCUCUGUUGUUGGUUUUGUUAGUAAGUCUUGUCAGUUUGCAGAGUCUUUUGAGUUUGCUUCAAUAAACCGUGGUCCAAGCUGCACUUGGUCCCCCUGCUCCAUUUCCACACUCCGUUCGUGACAUGCACUUCUAGAGUUGGACCGAGCCAUUUUUUACUUCAUCUGGAAAUCCAAGUUGGAGAGACUGAAGAGGGACACCAUGAAGAAAAACAAAAAAAAGGAGCGGGAAGCGGUGUGUCCAGUGCGCGGGCUUGCAUUCGGCGAGCCCACAACAGUUUGGCGCAACGUCAACCACCCCGCCCUCUCGAAACAAACUUCGGGACCUGUCAUGGAUGGUGGCCCAUGAUGUCCUCCCAGUCAGGUCCGUUAUGCACUCUCGGGGCAUGUCAGCGCUCUCAGCGUGCCCCUGACCUGGCUGUGGUGCCCAGGAGUCAGUGUGGGACCUGCUCUGGUAGUGCAGGGCUGCCGUAGACCUGUGGGCGACCUGCAAUUCCCCGCAAGGUAAGCGCAGAUUGCAGACCUUGUACUCUAUGCGUUGACCCCGUUGAAAAUCAAGCAAGAAGACUUUACAAAGCAGUCGUUGCCAUCAAAGACGCCAUGUGGACUUCCAGAAACUUGCUGGUAAGGAAGCACAGACAGAUA